rnacentral:lncRNA from 1 species
GUGACAUCACAGCACCUGACACUGCACAGGCUGUGCCGUGCUUCCCAGCAGUCGCCUGAAGCCACCCCUCCCCCUCCUUAAGCCAGCCCAGAUCAAGGGCCUUGGCUUGCUGAGGUGGGGGCUGGGUGGGAAUAGUAUCUACAAUCAAGGGGUGGUCGCAAUAGAGGCCUUCUAGGCACCCAGACUGGCUCUGAGGACAAGCUGGAUGUGAACAAGUGUCCUUCAUCUGUUCCCAAGGACCGGAGCCCAGCCUGUCAUCGAUGCUGCUAGCUGGAAGAGAGACUCUGUAUGGCUGCUCGGUGUUCUCCAACUCAGCCCAGAGUCUUGUCAUCUCUCCUCUCUCAGCCAGGCCUCCGUUUCCAAAGGGCUGCUGCCACUCUGCCAUGUGGCUUUCUGCACUUCAACCCCAGGCCUGCUAAGCCCUGUUGAGCCAGAUCCAGAAUAAAAACCUCAAUGAAAAAGAAGAGAACAAAACUGGGACGAAGGAGAGCUCUUAGGAAGCAAGGACAACCAAGCAGCCUUGUCAGACCUGACCAUCAGCCCUCCCGACUCUCACUCAAGGAUGACUAAGGCCCAGGGGUCUGUCAUGGAUAAAAUCUUUGGAGUCUGGAUCUUUCCCAUUAUCCACAGAUUGUUAAACCUGCUAUGUACUCCUAGAAGUGGGCUGUGAGCUCUUUUGGGUGAGUUUUUUUCCAGGAAAGGUCUAUGUCUAACACUAAGAGGGAAGACCAAACGAAGCAGCUGGGGAGA